UUCUUAAUCCUCCUUUGACUCAAGCUCAACCAACAGUGGUGCAAAGUGAGGGGUCCCCCAAUUUGGAAAGACCCUCCUGCUAGGCAGUGUGUGAACCUGGGAACCUGGGGCUCACUGCCACCCAGGAGUGCCAGCUUGAAUAAAAUAUGUGGGGGAAGGUAAGCCCUGCCACACAUACUCUGUCACAUGGCAUGGCACAUACAUCCCAUUUGAAUGGCGAUGCCUAUCAACUCUGAGGGGACCUGGCCCUCUCAAAUAUUUUCGGGUGGGGGGGGUCAAAAGCACCUUGGCUCCUAUGUCACCACCCAUGUAUGCCAUGCAAAGCUAUGUUUUAGUAUGGUAUGCCUAUGUGCCCUAUAGCUCCAGGUGUAUAUUUUCGGGAAAAUAAUAGGAGUGCAUUCUAGAGCAGUUGGGGUAUACAGCGGUAACUUGGAAGUUAAACGGAAUCCAUUCUGGAAGUCAGUUCGACUUCCAAAAUGUUCAAACACCAAAGUGCGGCUUCCGAUUGGCUGCAGGAAACUCCUGCAGCCAAUCAGAACCUGCAGAACCCAUGUUGGACGUUCGGGUUCCAAAGAACGUUCGCAAACUGGAACACUCACUUCUGGGUUUGCGGUGUUUGUGAGCCAAAACAUUCGACUUGCAAGGCGUUCGGGAUCCAAGGUACGACUGUGUUUUGAUUUUUUAUCUUCUGGCCUGAAAAUGUUUCAGGUUGAUGCUAGCCGAAUUCAAACAUUUCCUUUGCAGUGUGGGAGCCAUGUUGCUUUGCUCUGUCCCACAGAACUCCAGUGCCUUGUAAAAAAGGCUCCACAUUGGAGUAAUGGCUUCAUCUCGUUACUUCCCACACCAAUGCCAUCCUUUUCUGGGCAUCUGUGGGAAGGAAAAUAAGAGCUUUAUCCCACUUGUCCAAAUGGUGCUUUUAAAUUUUUUUAUUACAAAUAUUACCAGAACAGUUUAGAUGGGGUAACCUCGUAUCUGCAGCCUCCUGCACACUAUAAAGGUAACAUUUGAUUCAUCCCUUCCUUUAAAGUCAGGAAUCGGUUGAAUAUAAAAGUUGAGUGACAGAAGGGACUGGGGGUUGUGGUUCAGGCAACAU